rnacentral:rRNA from 1 species
CCUACGGGGGGCUGCAGUGGGGAAUUUUGGACAAUGGGGGCAACCCUGAUCCAGCCAUGCCGCGUGCGGGAAGAAGGCCUUCGGGUUGUAAACCGCUUUUAGCCGGGAAGAAAAGGCGAGGGAUAACACCCUUCGUUCUUGACGGUACCGGCGGAAUAAGCACCGGCUAACUACGUGCCAGCAGCCGCGGUAAUACGUAGGGUGCGAGCGUUAAGCGGAAUGUCCGGGGGCGAUGCGUUAAGAGGGAGGUGAAAGCCCCGGGCUCAACCUGGGAAUGGCAUUGGAUACUGGCGGGCUUGAGUGUGGCAGAGGGGGGUGGAAUUCCGCGUGUAGCAGUGAAAUGCGUAGAGAUGCGGAGGAACACCGAUGGCGAAGGCAGCCCCCUGGGCUGACACUGACGCUCAGGCACGAAAGCGUGGGGAGCAAACAGGAUUAGAUACCCCAGUAGUC